GGACGCGCCGGCUCCGGGCGGGCGUGGUCCCUCCUGCGGGCGCCUGGGUUGGCCGGGCGGACCCCGGAAGAGGGGGAGUCGCGGGGACGCAGCGACAGAGUCGGGGUCUGGCCGCGGCCGCCCACGCCUCCCAGGGGUUGCAGGCCUGGGCGCCGGGGUUGGACCAGUCUUCCGGGCAUUGCACGCCCUGGUUUGGUCUGUACCCAUGGUUUGUGGCGGGGCAAGAUGUUAAGUUGGGUAACACCGAGGUGAGCCGCGGUCCUCGGCACCAGAUGAAGAACCACUGUCUCAAUAAGAUUAUUAAAAACUCCAAUUUGUGUCUGUGUAACUCAACGUGGGAGCCUGGAACCAUGUUUACUCUUCUGAUGACCCUGAAAGUGUGUGCCCUGUGUUGUUGACGACCCUUGUGUUGUGCUGAUAAUUCAUCACAGAGGCUACCUUUCCCUUGGCGCCCUCACUGAAACUUCCUCCACAAGAGUCACCGAUGAACACUUCAUACUUCCAGAUUCCACAGCCUCUUUUGGUACAAGUCACUGUCAUCCCUCACCCGGCCUACUGCAGUAGUCUCCUAAUGGUCCCCUGCUUCCAUCCUUUGCCCUACAAUCUGUUCCCAACCUGACAGCCAAAGUGACCUUUUCCUGAAAAAUUGAACUUUUAAAAAUUCAGAAAUAAUCUAUACAUAGUAAAACUCAAGUGUAUUAAUACGCAAUUCUGCAUGCUUUGGCAAACACAUGCAGUGGUUUAACCUCCACUGUAGUCAAGAUAUAAAAAUGUUUUUUUAAUAACAUUUAUAAACAAGAUAUAAAAAUGUAUAUAAUUCCUUUGUACCAACCUAUUUCCUUACCCCCAGUCCCUGGUAACCACUGAUUUCUGUUUCUAAACUUUUUGCCUUUUCAGAAUGGCAUGGAAAUGAAUCAUAUCGUAUGUAGCCUUUGAGUCUGGCUUCUUUCACUUAGCAUAAUGCAUUUGAGAUUAAUUCAUGUUGUGUGUGUUAGUAGCUCAUUGUUUUUAAUACUGAAUAAGACUCCUUUAUAAUGAAUAUUCCACAGUUUGUUAUCCAUAUGCAACAGAUAAAGGAUGUGUGAUACUUUCCAAUUUUUGGCAGUUAUAAAGUUGCUUUCUAAGCAUUUGCAUACAGGUUUUUCUGGAAGUUUAAGUUUCUAUUUCAUUUGGGUAAAUGCCUGGGAGUGGGAUUGCUGGGUUGUAUGGUAAGAGUAUAUUUCAUUUUAUAAGACUGUCAGGCUACUUUGCAAAGUGUACCAUUUUGCAUUUCCACCAGCAAUGUAUGUUCCAGUUGCUCUGCAGCCUCACCAGCCCCUGAUAUUAUCAGCUAAAAAAAUUAUUUUUAAAAGCUAUAAAAAGUAUUUUUAGCUGAUAAUGUAUUUUUAGACAUUCUACCAGAUGUGUAGUGGUAUCUCAUUGUGGCUUUAAUG
rnacentral:lncRNA from 1 species